AAAAGAACGAAAUGAAAAGAACGGAGAAUAGUGCAGAGCAAAAAGACAUCUGUGGCUGUGUAAUUUGUCAUCAUUUUUGUGCACUCUUGGAUUGCAGAACAUGAUAUCGUGAAAGAAAAAGAACGAAGAUGAAAAGAACGGAGAAAUAGUGCAGAGCAAAAAGACAUCUGUGGCUGUGUAAUUUGUCAUCAUUUUUGUGCACUCUUGGAUUGCAGAACAUGAUAUCAUGAAAGAAAAAGAACGAAGAUGAAAAGAACGAGAAUAGUGCAGAGCAAAAAGACAUCUGUGGCUGUGUAAUUUGUCAUCAUUUUUGUGCACUCUUGGAUUGCAGAACAUGAUAUCGUGAAAGAAAAAGAACGAUGAUGAAAGAACAGAAAUAGUGCAGAGCAAAAAGACAUCUGUGGCUGUGUAAUUUGUCAUCAUUUUUGUGCACUCUUGGAUUGCAGAACAUGAUAUCAUGAAAGAAAAAGAACGAAGAUGAAAGAACGGAGAAAUAGUGCAGAGCAAAAAGACAUCUGUGGCUGUGUAAUUUGUCAUCAUUUUUGUGCACUCUUGGAUUGCAGAACAUGAUAUCAUGAAAGAAAAAGAACGAAGAUGAAAAGAACGGAGAAAUAAUGCAGAGCAAAAAGACAUCUGUGGCUGUGUAAUUUGUCAUCAUUUUUGUGCACUCUUGGAUUGCAGAACAUGAUAUCAUGAAAGAAAAAGAACGAAGAUGAAAAGAAUGGAGAAAUAGUGCAGAGCAAAAAGACAUCUGUGGCUGUGUAAUUUGUCAUCAUUUUUGUGCACUCUUGGAUUGCAGAACAUGAUAUCAUGAAAGAAAAAGAACGAAGAUGAAAAGAAUGGAGAAAUAGUGCAGAGCAAAAAGACAUCUGUGGCUGUGUAAUUUGUCAUCAUUUUUGUGCACUCUUGGAUUGCAGAACAUGAUAUCAUGAAAGAAAAAGAACGAAGAUGAAAAGAAUGGAGAAAUAGUGCAGAGCAAAAAGACAUCUGUGGCUGUGUAAUUUGUCAUCAUUUUUGUGCACUCUUGGAUUGCAGAACAUGAUAUCAUGAAAGAAAAAGAACGAAGAUGAAAAGAAUGGAGAAAUAGUGCAGAGCAAAAACAUCUGUGGCUGUGUAAUUUGUCAUCAUUUUUGUGCACUCUUGGAUUGCAGAACAUGAUAUCAUGAAAGAAAAAGAACGAAGAGGAAAAGAAUGGAGAAAUAGUGCAGAGCAAAAACACAUCUGUGGCUGUGUAAUUUGUCAUCAUUUUUGUGCACUCUUGGAUUGCAGAACAUGAUAUCAUGAAAGAAAAAGAACGAAGAUGAAAAGAACGGAGAAAUAGUGCAGA